UGGGGGAUAUUGCACAAUGGGCGAAAGCCUGAUGCAGCGACGCCGCGUGGGGGAUGAAGGCUUUCGGGUUGUAAACCUCUUUCGCUAUCGAACAAGGCCCGCUUAGGGUGGGUUGAGGGUAGGUGGAGAAGAAGCGCCGGCUAACUACGUGCCAGCAGCCGCGGUAAUACGUAGGGCGCGAGCGUUGGCCGGAAUUAUUGGGCGUAAAGGGCUUGUAGGCGGCUUGUUGCGCCUGCUGUGAAAACGCGGGGCUUAACUUCGCGCGUGCAGUGGGUACGGGCAGGCUUGAGUGUGGUAGGGGUGACUGGAAUUCCAGGUGUAGCGGUGGAAUGCGCAGAUAUCUGGGGGAACACCGAUGGCGAAGGCAGGUCACUGGGCCAUUACUGACGCUGAGGAGCGAAAGCAUGGGUAGCGAACAGG
rnacentral:rRNA from 1 species